rnacentral:rRNA from 1 species
CAUCACUACGCUAGAUGCAUAUCAAUAAGCGGAGGAAAAGAAACUAACUAGGAUUCCCUCAGUAACGGCGAGUGAAGCGGGAAGAGCUCAAAUUUGAAAUCUUCAAGGUUCUACCUUGACGAAUUGUAGUUUAAAGAAGUGUUUUCUGUUGGAGUUUUGGUAAAAGUUCUUUGGAAUAGGACAUCAUAGAGGGUGAGAAUCCCGUAUUUGACCAUUAUUUCCAACUUUGUGAUACACUUUCAAAGAGUCGGAUUGUUUGGGAAUGCAGUCCAAAAUGGGUGGUAAAUUUCAUCUAAAGCUAAAUACUGGCGAGAGACCGAUAGCGAACAAGUACCGUGAGGGAAAGAUGAAAAGAACUUUGAAAAGAGAGUUAAACAGUACGUGAAAUUGUCAAAAGGGAAGCGUUUGACACCAGUGUUGUUUUCUCGAAAAUCAAUUAAAAAUGGUGGGAUGUUGUGUUGUAUUGACUUUAUCAGCUUUCUGCACUUUUUUUCCUAUCUUUUUUAAUGCACUUUUCGUUUAACGAGUCAACAUCAAUUUCUUUUGUUGUAAAAGAGUCAUUGGAAGGUGGCUUUCUUUUCGGAGAAAGUGUUUAUAGCCUUUGGCUUCUGCAAUCGGAGAGAUUGAGGUCUGCAGCGUAGAUCCUUCGGGGUUAGAUACAUUUGUGCUAAGUUAUAGCCUUUAUAGACAACUUGUUGACUAUGCUCAGUCAUGUAGCUUACUCGCAUAUGCUAUUUUACCUACGCUUAGGAUGUUGACGAGACUGUCGAUCUC